UAACACAUGCAAGUCGAACGGUGAAGCAGAGCUUGCUCUGUGGAUCAGUGGCGAACGGGUGAGUAACACGUGAGUAACCUGCCCUUGACUCUGGGAUAAGCGUUGGAAACGACGUCUAAUACCGGAUACGAGCUGAGACCGCAUGGUCAUCAGUUGGAAAGAUUUUUUGGUCAAGGAUGGACUCGCGGCCUAUCAGCUUGUUGGUGAGGUAAUGGCUCACCAAGGCGACGACGGGUAGCCGGCCUGAGAGGGUGACCGGCCACACUGGGACUGAGACACGGCCCAGACUCCUACGGGAGGCAGCAGUGGGGAAUAUUGCACAAUGGGCGAAAGCCUGAUGCAGCAACGCCGCGUGAGGGAUGACGGCCUUCGGGUUGUAAACCUCUUUUAGUAGGGAAGAAGCGAAAGUGACGGUACCUGCAGAAAAAGCACCGGCUAACUACGUGCCAGCAGCCGCGGUAAUACGUAGGGUGCAAGCGUUGUCCGGAAUUAUUGGGCGUAAAGAGCUCGUAGGCGGUUUGUCGCGUCUGCUGUGAAAACUGGAGGCUCAACCUCCAGCCUGCAGUGGGUACGGGCAGACUAGAGUGCGGUAGGGGAGAUUGGAAUUCCUGGUGUAGCGGUGGAAUGCGCAGAUAUCAGGAGGAACACCGAUGGCGAAGGCAGAUCUCUGGGCCGUAACUGACGCUG
rnacentral:rRNA from 1 species